AAAUAUACUUGGAUGGAUUUAUAGGUGAUGCUUAUGGCCUGACCCAAUAAUCUCCCUUGUACUUUGGAGUUAUUGAUCUGCUAUCUUUCCAAGUUGAGAGAGUGAACAUCAUAAUUUGUAAUAGUAGAAAUUUGUGAUAGUGGAGGUAUGCAUUCACCCUUGUUUUAU